AGUAUAUUUGUUUAGGCUAUAUACAGCUAGUUUAUCAUUAGCAACAUUAGUCUCCUUGUGCUUUUUCCUUCUUGGUUGUAUAUGUGUAAUUUUUUCUUUUAUUUUCUACUAUUGAAAUCUUUUUUGAUUACUUGUAUGUGAUUAAAUUUAUCUAGAUUAAAGCUUAGGCUAGUUAUUUCUUUUGCACUAUACUUUGAUUAAUUGUUCGGUUCUUAUACUUGUUUUCUUAUUUUUAAAUUUAAGUGUAGAAAAUGAUCAACUGGUCCUUGAUUGGAGCAUAGUGUACAGUUCUUUUGAUUUUUUCAUUGGGUGGAUUUUUCCAUUGAAUGAGCUCUUUUUGUAGCUCCUUAGCAUAUUGAAUCCUCCUUUGCCUUCGUUGUAAUUUCUGCUUAUAGGAAGCGGGUGAAGAAACAAAUAAGGAUGACAAAAAAUCUGAGCAAGAGCGUGUUAAUUCUUAUGGAAAUGCUAGUGUUGCCUCUGAUGUGGCCAGAUAAAAACAAAGUGUUGAUCUGUUCAAAAGAAAGAUCAAACGCCAUGAGGAAACAACUUCAAUCCAUGUAUUGUGCUUAAGAUGUAGUCUGCAUUUUGAUUAGUGUUUCACAUAUUUCUUGAGUGUUACCAUAUAAUACUUGGCUAUGUUGAUUAUCUAUGAGCAUAACUAUGCAUGCAAUAAUAAAGAUACUUGUAACAGGGAGCUCUCUUUAGGAGAUUGAUACACUACACCACCAUUAUUGUCUGCCUGUUCCAAGAUUUAUUUUGUCACUUAAGAAUGAUUUGUCUGUGAGAGCUAAAACUGCAGAAGUAAUGAUUGGUGACUUUAGUUCUUGUUCAUAUGCUACAAUAUUCAGGAAGGAGUUCCUCAGAGUAAUCUAAUGAGCAAUUUCGAGCUUUCAAGCUUCCCAAUUUAGCGACCUUCUUUGUUUUUCCUUUGAGUGUGUUCCUUAAUAUGGAUGAUGAUACUACUACUACUACUUCUACGACACGUGAUGAUGGAUAUAAUGAAUACAUCACUCCGCAACAAAAGAGAAAGAAGAGGUCUAAAGUUUGGAGAGAGCUUAUUUAAGGGAAGAAAGUUCAAGGUGAGAGAAUUGAGAAAUGUGUACAUUGUAAUUCCAUUUUAUCUACACAUCGUGAUAGCGGUACGUCUCAUUUGAAGCGUCAUUUAGAGAGGUUUGCAAAUAGGCCUCUAGGACUUACAUUUGAGGAAGAUAGUGAUGAAGAAAAUUUUGUUUUUGACAUGAAUGAACUUCGAAAAGAGAUACUUAAUUUCAUUGUUGAAGGAGGUCAGUCAUUCAUUCACUAUGGUUGAAGAAAAAGGAUUUAGGAGAAUGAUGAAAAGAGCUACCCCCAAGUCUAUACCAUUUAGCCGUGCAACCACUAAGAGAGAUUUAUUGACGACCUAUGUAUUGGAAAGGGACAAAUUGAAAGGUUUGUUGUCUGAUGUUGGGGGUAGAAUUUGUUUAACAAUUGAUAAUUGAAAUCAAAUCAUACUAGGCAAUAUUUCAUUUGUGUCACUUCUCACUUUAUUGAUGACUCUUGGAAACUCCAUAAAAAAAUUCUUAGGUUUAGGGCCUUGGCUCCUCCAUAUGAUGGAGUAAGUAUUACUAAUGAGAUUUGUAUGUUUCUUAGCCAAUGGAUAUUAGAUGAUAGGAUACUCUCUAUUACCGUUGAUAAUGCAACUUAUAAUGAUGUGAUGAUAUCUUGUUUGAAGA